rnacentral:lncRNA from 1 species
UUUUUAGCUUAAAAAAAAAUCUCUUGAACAUCUUUUUGUAAGACCACUUUAGUGACAAUGAACACUUUUAGCUUUUGCUUGCCUGAGAUGUUCUUUAUCUUUCAAUUCUGAAUGAUAACUUUGCUGGAUAGAGUAGAGUAUUCCUGGUUGGAACGUUUUUUGUUUUUGGUUUGUUUUGUUUUGUUUCCAGCACUUUAUAUGUAUCCUGCCACUCUCUUUUGAACUGCAAGGUUUCUGCUGAAUAAUUUCCUGAUAGUCUUAUGGAAGUGAAGCGGGUUUCAUUAUAUGUAACACGAUGGGUUUUUUUUUUUUUUCUUGCUGUUUUUAAGAUCUUCUUCUUGUCUUUAACAUUUGACAUUGUAGUUAUUAUGUCUUGAUGUGGGUCUCUGGCUUCGUCUUGUUUGGAACUCUCAGAAUUUCCUACAUCUGGAUGUCUGUCUCCUUCCCCAGAUUAGGGAAGUUUUCAGUCAUUAUUUUUUCAAACAAUAUCUCUGCCCCUUUCUCUCUUCCCUUUCUCCGUUCCUCUGCAAUGGGAAUGUUAGUGUAUUUGAUGUUGUCCUAGAAGCCCUUUAGCUAUCUUCACACAGCUUUCUUCUUUUUGCUCAUCUUACUGGGUGCAUCCCACUGCCUUGUCUUUGAGUUGACUGAACCUUUCUUCUGCUUCAUUUAGUCUGUUGCUGAUUCCCUCUAAUGUAUUCUUCAGCUUAGUUAUUGUAUUCUUCAGGUCUGUGAUUUUGGUUCAGUACUUUCUUAUACUGUGCGUAUCUUUGUUGAAGUUCUCAAGGUGCUCAUCCAUUCUUCUCCCAAUUUCAGUAAGCAUCUUUAUUAACAUGAUUUUGAACUCUUUGUCAGAUAAAUUAGUUAUUUUUGUUUUAUCAAGAGUUUUUCCUAAGGUUUUCUCCUGUUUUGUUUUGUUUUCAUUUAAAACGUAUUCCUCCAUUUCUUCAUUUUUCUCAACACUCUGUGGUAGUUUCUUACAGAAGAUCAGUCAUCUCUCCCAAUCUUGAAGUACUGGGCUUGUGUAGUAAUUCAACCUUGUCCCAACUCUUUGCUAUCUCUGAAACUUUUGUGUUUAUCCAAGCAGCCUAUUAUAUUUGUAAUGGCUUCCAGUAGUUGUGGAUGUGCCAAGACCUGUCAGUGUCCCUUAGGAGGAAAUCUGAGCACUGAGAUUCAGGCUACUUGGAAGCCAGACCCUCAGGCAGCAGCUUUUAAUGCAAAUAUAUACAGUCCUACGGAACUGCAAGCAUAAGCUCCCUUGGCCAGGUGAUCUGGCUUUGUUCUCUAGGUGACAACUGCAAAAACUGGGGCUCAGUCUGCUGCCUCGGCAGUGCCCUUGGGGUGGCAGCUUGCCAAGAACUUUCUCUCUUAAAGCACAGAAAUGUAAACUCACCUCCCUACCACUGGCCCUACAGCCAGGUAAUGAAGGAGCAUGCCCCAGAGAGCUGCAAACACUGCAGCACCAAAUGUAAAAACCAGGGUACCAGUCAUAUAUAAGGCUCCCUCCUAAGAGAUAGUGGUGUUCUGAAAUAUGGCAGAAGGAGAGUGCAAAGAUAGUGCCUGCCCUCCAACGUCUCUGAGAGGAUUAUGAUUUGCCCCUAGAUGCAUAUUUAAUUAGAAGCCUGUCCCUCAGAAUUCAGUGAUGAUGAUUAGUUAAUAGGUCCUCUUCAUAGAGAGACAAGCUCCAGGCUCUGUUGCCUCUCACUGUGCUCUGGCGGUACUAGCUAUUUAAGAACUCUUUCUUCAUUGGUUAUAUAGUCUUGUGGGACCCACAGGCAUAAGCAUCACUGGCCUCCAAAGCCAAACAAUAUAGAAGUGGCCCCUGGAAGCAGCUGCAAAAAUUGGAGUGCCAGACAGAGGUAUGAGCUCCUUUCUGGGCAACAUCAAUUAUUGCAGUCCCAUGGGACCAGGAGCUCAAGCUCCCCUGACCUUCAGAGCCAGACAGUCAAAAGGUAUCCCUUGAGUGGUAGUCACAAAGAUCAGGGCACUAGUCAAGUAUAAAAGCUUCCUUCCAGGAGAUACCAGUGCUCCAGAGCACAGAAAAGGGACAGCAUGAAUAUGGCACCAUUCCAUUUAUGAUAACAUCACUGUGUGAAAUAUAAAGAAAUAAAUUUAACAAAAGAUGUGUAAGAUCCAUGCAAGACAAUGAAAACCACAAAACACUGCUGACAGAAAUGAAAGUUCUAAAUAAAUGGAGCGAUAUGACAUGUUCAUGAAUUAAAAGAUAUCAAUCCUCCCAAAUUAUUCCAUAGAUUUAAUACAAUCCCUAAUAAAAUCCCUGCAGCCUUUUUUGUAGAAAUUGAAAGCAGAUUAUAAAAUUUAUAUGUAUAUACAAAGGAUCUGAACAGCCAAAACAAUUGACAAGCUGCUUAUAAAACUUACAUGAAAAUGUGAAGCAUUUAGAAUAGUCCAAGUAAUUGAGUAAAAGAACAACCUGAGAGGAUUUACACUAUCUGACUUCAAGAGCUCACAUAAUUCUACAGUAAUCAAGGCUAUAUGGUAGCAGCAUAAGAAUUGAGAAAUAGAUCCAUGGAACAGAAUAACAAGCCCAGAAAUAAAUUUCCAUUUAUUUAGUCAUCUAAUAUUCGACAAAUAUGCAAAAGCAACCAAAUGAGGAAAGCCUUUUCAGGAAACAGUGUUGCGAUAACUAGAUAUCCAUAUGGAAAAAAAAAAUGACUUCAGACCCUAUCUGAUAUCAUGCAUAAACAUAAUUUAAACCAUAUAUUUAAAUAUAAAAUCUAAAAUUAGAAGUUGUUAGAGAAAUACACAGAAUGUCUGUAUAACUUGGGAGUAGUCAAAUGUCUUAGGUAGGUCACAGGAGGCAAACCAAAAAAGAAAAUAAAAAAAGUUCCACACAUCAAAUCAAAAGUUCUACAAAAAAAAAAAAAAAAAAAAAAAAAAAAAAA